GCCGUAGCUCAGUGGUAGAGCAUUUGCUUGGCAUGCAGGAAGUCCCAGGUUCAAUCCCUGGCUUCUCCA